rnacentral:lncRNA from 1 species
AUAUAAUAUUAUAUAUUACGUAUAACGUAUUUUUCAAAGUUCGAUAUUUCAUCGAAUUUCUUACUGAGCUUUAUAGCUCAUAUAGAUGUCUUUUAAUUGCAGGUAGUAGUGCUAGUAAUCCUCAACCGGGAUGGGUCGAGUAGCGGAUCGAGGUCUUGCCCGGAAUUUUGGAAGACGUACGAGGACCUAUGAACGAUGCUAAAGACUUUUGGUUAUUUUCUUUUGGUGGUGUAAUAUUAAAUCUAAAUACUUCCUUUUCGUACCUUUUAAACUC